rnacentral:tRNA from 1 species
UCCCGUUUAGCUCAGUUGGUAGAGCGCGUCACUAGUACUGUAAGGUAUGACGAGGUCAGUCGUUCGAGUCGGCUAAUGGGAA